CCUGAGAAACCCAAAAGAUCGAAUGGGGAGAUUCAUCGUCAGCUCAUUUUGUAUAUGUAGAAGUUAUGAUGCGAGUUACUCUUGUAGUAUUGCUUGUACAUACUUUUAUAUUUAUUUGCAAGAUGUUGUCGGCGUGCACUUCUUCCCUAGUAGGACGUCGCGACCCGUUGGGUGUUGGUCUACGGCCCGAGUGGUAGCCUUUAUAGUUGAAAAACUUUAAAGACCCUUGGUGUUUUCUGACCGGCUACCCGACGGUAUUCGUACGGUAUUUAGCCGCAUUUAUGUGCGUCCAUAUCCGUCGCAAGCGAGGCUAGUUUCUGGCAGUGCGGACCUAGUGCCGUCGUUGGAGCUCGCCAGCUGUUGGCUGUUACGGUAAUCUAGGACUGGCUAAAAAUUAUUACCGGUCUGCGAUGCUACUGCUUUGGGUACUUUCAGGACCCGUCUUGAAACACGGACCAAGGAGUCUAACAUGUGCGCGAGUCAUUGGGAUUUUUUAAAUUAAACCUAAAGGCGCAAUGAAAGUAAAGGUCGUCCUUGCGUCGACCGAGGGAGGAUAAGUUGUAUCAAGAUACAGCUUCGCACUCCCGGGGCGUCUCAUUCUCAUUGCGAGAAG
rnacentral:rRNA from 1 species